AUUGAACGCUGGCGGCAUGCCUUACACAUGCAAGUCGAACGGCAGCACGGGAGCAAUCCUGGUGGCGAGUGGCGAACGGGUGAGUAAUAUAUCGGAACGUGCCCAGUCGUGGGGGAUAACGUAGCGAAAGCUACGCUAAUACCGCAUACGAUCUAUGGAUGAAAGCGGGGGAUCGCAAGACCUCGCGCGACUGGAGCGGCCGAUAUCAGAUUAGGUAGUUGGUGGGGUAAGGGCUCACCAAGCCGACGAGCUGUAGCUGGUCUGAGAGGACGACCAGCCACACUGGGACUGAGACACGGCCCAGACUCCUACGGGAGGCAGCAGUGGGGAAUUUUGGACAAUGGGCGCAAGCCUGAUCCAGCAAUGCCGCGUGCAGGAUGAAGGCCUUCGGGUUGUAAACUGCUUUUGUACGGAGCGAAAAGGCUCUCUCUAAUACAGGGGGCUCAUGACGGUACCGUAAGAAUAAGCACCGGCUAACUACGUGCCAGCCGCCGCCGUAACAC
rnacentral:rRNA from 1 species